ACCGGAGGACCACGGCAGCCCUCUCUCUGCGGCGGGACCCCGGGCUGCACCGCGGGGCCACAAAGGAGCGAAGGAGAAAGCACUGCCAGGUGUCGGGGGGAACGCACGAUGGGAACGUACCCACCCGAGACAGAGGGAGCGUUCCCCGGCUCGCUGCCUUGCUGAAGGGCUCCAGCCAAUGGGUGGUUUGGCUACAAAGCGCAGCGACCCCCAGACCACAGCGGGGGAUCCCGCUGAGCCCCGCAGCCCCCGGCUCGGCACGGCACGGCACGGUUCUCACCUGCGCGGAUCGUGCACCUCCACCGAGAACUUCUUCUCGCGGAAAUAGAGGUUCUCCAGCUGCCUCCAUUGGAAGAUCUGCCGGGAGAAGGAGGGGGUGAGGCUCCUCCGCGCUAAGCCCUGCCCGCUCCCUGCCCUCCGCCCCGCUCUCUCUCCCGACGCCGCGCCGGGGCUGCCCCGCUCCGCCCCGCUCCGCCCCGCCCGGCUCGACGCGGCGCCGCUCCACCGCAACGGAGCGAAGCAGGAGGUGGGGACGGACGGACGGACGCGUCCCUGCGUUCUUUGCUUGCGCGGCACGCUUUCACUUUGCGGAUUAACUACAACGAGGAAAAGUUACAGGAAAGCGAGGAUUCGGCCGCUUUCUCCUGCUUUCGAGGGUGCUCGGCCGAGCCCCCGGGCUUUUGCGGCGCACAGAGCUGGCGUGGCGUUGUAGGGCAGCCCCCGGGGGGGGCUCACACCUCUGCGCUGCGAGGAGCGUAAAGGCACUCGGCGCUCCGCCCUGCCUUCACCCCGGCUCGCCCUGCCAAUGGGAAGCAAAGCGGUGUGAGUUUAUCUGGGGUGCUGACAGCACUCGUGUUGGCGGUGCCUGGGGGUUGAGUAGGGCUGCAGCGUGCCAGCGGCGCUCAGAAGCACAGGAAUCAGCACGUCGUGUUGUUCUUGCCUCCCUGUAGGGAUCCUGCUACAACAGGGGCUCGGACUCGAUCCUCAGAGGUCCCUUCCAAUCCCUACGACGCUGUGAUUCCGCGCUUCUGUUUUACAGGCGCAUCUCAAAGCACCACCAAAACGUUACCGCUGGAGGGGAACCGAAGGCACGGAGCGAGGCACGGAGUGACCCGCACCGAGUGACCCGCUCCCCGGUGCCCUCGCUGCUUAGUAAGCGUGGGCAGGUCUCAGGGACUCAGCCCGCCCUCUGAGUGUGCAGCUCCCGGGCACUGGGACGCCGCAGAGGCCGCGUCUCGCUGCCCUUACCCACGCCUCGUGCAGGAGUGCCUGCCACGCAGCAGCCCCGGGCGGGAGGGAGGGCAGCGUAGAAGUAGCAGUAGCACGCGGUGACUGCAGCCAACACACUGCGGGCAGCUCCGCCCGCCUCCACAUCCUUACAAAGAACUGAGCCCAAAUCCAAACCCUGGCUUCCAGGCUCUUCAUCCACCCGCGGGCAUCCCAGCACUGCUUCUCGCUCAGGGCCGGUUACCUCUGCCGGGAGCAGAGCCAGCAGAGCUCUCCCUGAUUUAUGCUCCCUCUCCCACUACAAGCAGCUUCUGUUGAGUUCCUGUCCGACCCCCAAGGAAGGAGCUGAGUCCUGCCACGCUGAGAUAAGCCGCUCGCCAGUGUCAGCACUCUGGAGAUCGGCUCUCAGCGCACUUCAGCAGAGCUUCAAAGGCAAGAAAAGGAAGUUUGGGGCCCAAACUCCCACUGACAGCACCAGGGGUCAAGCAUGAGACUGCCACGUGGGCCUCCAAAAACACCCCUCCGUGCUUCCAGAUGCCCAUCUGUCUGCGGGGAUGGUAACACAGUGUGUGCAGAGGACGUGUCUGGGAAGCGCUCAGACAUGUGGAACACAUAAGCAUCUAAAAAGCAGCAGUUCACACCCUUUGGAAAACAUCCCUCUGUCCCUGUGUCCCCUGUUGUCAUUUUGGCAUGAAGUAGGAAUUUGAAACCCUUUUUCUAAGCUGUUGGCAGCUGUUCUGCUGGGGGAGUUUGUGCAAGAAGCAACUCAGGUAGAUGAGAUGCCUGUGCAACCCGUUCUCCUCUGCCUGGGACUGUCCCCUGUGUACUUAUCCUGCCUUAUUCUGUCUUCUCUGCUAACGAAGCUCACAGUGCUCAGCUCAUUAAGUGCAGCUACGCUUCCCUCCCAUGAUUAAUUCCAACUGUCCAAACACAGCGGCUCUGGGGGAGCUUUCAACCAGCCAGGAGCAGGCGCCGAGUGCUAUUUCUCGUGCCCCGGGGUGCCCCAUGUGGCCCUGGCUGCUGCCCCAGGAGGGCGUGAGUGUGGCUUUACAGCUUGAGUUUGGGUCUUUUUUUCCAUAGCACUACUCUCCAGGACAUACUUGUGUGUUUUACCACUGCUGUAACUCACCCUUUCUGCAGCCUCCCACUCGUUUUGCCCAUAUUGAUCUGAGAGGUCUCACCCUCUUACACACAGGGAAUACAAUCUGCAAAAGUGUGAAUACCCACAAGAAGGUAUCUGCUUUCUUACUAGCUGAUCACCACCUCUCAGGAGAAACUGCCUAAUUUCUCUCUUCAGCCAGACCUCCUAAUGUAAGCAAGCUGUUCCCUUCAACCAGUUGCCUGGCUUACGUAUGGUUUCAAAUUGAUGUUGUUAAUUCAGUGACAGAUGCACAAGGUGCCAUUAGUGGGUCUUAAAUGGAAGCAUAAUUUUUACCCAUCAAGAUCCUUUUACCAUGCUGGUGCUUACAACCUUCACUGGGGAAUAAGAGCCGCAGCAGCGAGCUGGUUAUAAUUUCAGUGCUGCCUUCUGGACAUGCAGCUACAACAGAAACAUGCAGGUUUUGGAGUGCCACUUUUGGGGUUAGCUUCAGUCAGAGCAUCCAAGUUCAUGGCAGAUUUGCUUUUUCCUGCGCUGAAGCUGAGUUUGGUUUUGUGUGGGAGUUGUAUUGUUGAGAUGGACAACCACAGUUCCAUCCUUCACCUGACCAAAGGUACAUCACGGCAGGGACAGGGACAGCACGUCCCCAGACACGCUGGAAAUGAGGCUUGGGAGAAAGCCACUCAGUAAUACAAGCACAGUUCCCCUGCCCUUUAGAAGCUGCUCUUACUUGGAGCCUGCAGACAAGGGGACAAUUAGUGGUGCUUGCGGCAGAGUGAGCUUCUAUGAUGUGGUGGUUUGUCCACUGGGAUCUCUUCUGAGGUCAGCAGCUCAUUUUGGAUCAUGCAGCACUGGGCAGCUUUCAGAUGGGAACAAUUUUUGCUAGUUGCCAUCAUUACAAGCUGCACAUGAGAUCAUUCAACCUUCAGCAUAUGCUUAAGGAAGUCUCCCUGAGACUGGCUUCGGAGCACAGCUGCACACUCAUGCAUGCACGUGAAUGGGAAAGGGACUGCUGAAGAAGAAAAGCGUUACCCUUAUUUCCUUCUCCUCUGAGUCAGGGAGUCUGCACUGCAGGCUCUGAUUCAUCGUGCCAAUAGAGCCGGAACCAGAGCUAUCACUUGAGUUUGCAAGACUGCUUAUCAAACUGCUGACAUGCAAGGGGAAACCUGGGGAACAAUUGUUCCCUGUCAGACUAUGCAUACUGUUUCAAAUGUUUGGAGUGGGUGGGGGGGCUACAAUGCAGAAAGCAGUGCCAGAAAUGGCUUUUUUUGCAAAGCUGGCAGCUUAGAAAAGGAGCCAGGGGAGGGAUCUGAGUGGUAUACGGUGCACUGUGGAGAAUUCAGGUGCAAGCUACGGGAAUUUUGUCUUUGGAAACCCCUUCCAAGAGGCAGGCAAGCUCGCCAGGCACCAGAUGUUUAUGACUAGUUACAAAGAGCUGCAGUCAAAGCCCUUCAGAUGCAAGCUUCUUUUGUGAGCACACUUGUGGUUUGCUAGCUGCUCCCUAAUUAAGCUGAGCCUGGAGGAGAGGAGGCCCAGGGAUCUGCAUCCGUUUCAGCCAUAUGAGUCUGAAGAAGUUUUUUACCUUUUUUAUUGGCUGUGGGGCUGGUGCGGUGGAGUUUGCACAUAGCAGGAGGUAGGGUCAGUGUGAGUGCAUUUGAGGAAUGCCAGAGGCUCCUGAUAAAGAAGGGAGCGUGUUUUUUGAAUGAGCAUAGAGGAGCCUUUCUGGGUUGGUCACUCAUGCCUGGAUGACUGGGACUUCACUGAUGCGUAGGGAGCUCAGGUUAUCUGUCCUAGGCACUGGGCUGUGCUCAGGAAUCCUUGUUUGCAUGCUCCAAAGAGGGACCAUCCAUGCAUUUGGGAACUCCUGGCAGUAAUGAAGCUGAAGGACAGCAAAGGUGCUUGGUGCCCAUUAAUCAUCAUAUCAUAAAAUCACAGAGUGCUUAGGUUGGAGGGGAGCAAGAAGAUCAUCUAGUUCCAAUCCCCCUGCCAUGAGCAGGAUUGCCAGCUGCCAGCUCAGGCUGCCCAGGGCCCCAUCCAGCCUGGCCUUGAGCACUUCCAGGGAUGGGGAACCCACAGCUUCUCUGGGCAGCAGUGCCAGUGCCUCACCACCUUCUGAGUAAAAAAAUUCUUCCUAAUGUCUAACUGAAAUCUUCUCUCUUUUAGUUCAAAGUCACCCCCCCCCCCCCCGCCUUGUCUAUCACUAUCAGACCAUGCAACAAGUCAGUCUCGCUCCUGCUUGUAAACUUCAAGGACUGGAAGACUGCAUUGAGAACCAGACGUAAAUGCCCGAAUAUGUGGUGUCUUUUUCCUUUUUCUAUGUGUAUGUUUUGCCCUGAAGCACCUGAGAUAAGGCAGUAGAGUGGGGUUACUCAGCAAUGCACAUGCUCUUGGUAGUUUCAGAUAUCAAGCCUGGUAGCUGUUUCAAAUCAGUUCAUCUGCAGAAGUCUGUGGAGGAUCUAUCUGCUGUUUUUCUGCUGUCUUUGGUGACCGAAGGGGAGUUACUAAGGAAAUGGAGCCAGACGUUUCUGAGAGGUGCUUAGUGGCAAGAAAAGAGGCAACAGGCAGAGGUUGCAGCAACAGAAAUUCUAACCAGAUAUAUGCAGGGAAAAACAAAACACGGUCAGUACUGUAGAGCUGUGAGCAACUUGAAUGACUUUGAAGCUGGCCUAACUGAGCAGGAGGUUGAGCUCUUUGUCCUAUAUUUUUCUUAGAUUCUAAGCAUCUAAUAAAUGACCAACAGUGAUUGCUGUUGGUCUCACAUGGCAUCUCCCAGCCCUGCCAGUUUCACAGCUUCUUGAAUGAUUAAUUCCUUGUUAAAUCAUAGUAUGCAGAAGGAACAAUCAUCCCUCUAAAUGCACGUCGAUGACUGGGUGCUCUGAGGGGCUUCUAGGAAAGGCAAGGAAAUAAUGUGACAUAUUUUCUAACAGUUCAAAUGCAACCCCUUUACUCUCCUAUGCUAUGGGCAAGAGUCACAACCCUGGAUGACAUCCUGGUAAUAAAACUGGCACUAAACAAUAAAACCAAACAAUGGCAGUGUUUUCACACAGCUUGCAUAAGUACAGCUACAAACGCCCAAGUCUUUUCUUGUUCAGUUUAAAGAUGAAACAAACACAACAAAAAAUUUCCUCUCUGGAUAUCUGAUUUCCUCCUCUGAACAAACCAGCAACGAAAAUUCUAGGGGCUGAGUUAUGUGGGAGGUCAGGGCGGAGGUUAUAAACAGUCCCUUUCUGGCUUUAAACUCGACAAAAAUCACAGCUCCAUCAAAGUCAAUGGCAGUUUUGUCCCAAUUGUUUCAGUGGGGCUAUGGUUUUCAUGCAUGGGUUUGUGUUCUGCCUCAAGCCAACCCUGCUCCCAUCAAUCAUAUCUCUGUCAAACUAGUUAGUUAGAAAGAACGAAGAAGGAUUUGAUCCAGGCAGCACCAACUCAGCUCAAACAAAUGGGAUCUUGUUUCAGGGACAGAUUUACCAAGAGAUUUCCACGGGCUGUCACCUGUGAAUUAGCCUGACCCUCUGCUGAGGGUGCCCCACAGGUCAUGAGAUGAGGAUGCCGCUGUACUAUAACUUAGCCCUCUAUCCUGCCAUGCCUUCCAUUCAUUCCUGUAUUUCAAUUAGUUUGGGCUUUUUUUUUUUUCUCCUUCCUAGAACAACAACAACAAAAAAAUUAUGAGGUUUCCUGUGUGAUUUGAUGUGGGGAAAAAACCCAUCAAUGAUCUUCCCAGAGGCUUGCUGUCCUCCCCUUCCCCAUGGAAUGAGAGAGUGGCUUGGCUAAGCAGGACUUUUGGUGGUCUGUCAACAACCCCAGCACACUAUCUAAUUACUUCCCCUUUGGCUGCAGGGCUCUUUCUCUGCCAAACAGUUUCUAGUUCAGUUUGAGAUCAUUCUUGCUGUGUGCUGUUCUCAUGGGACCACACCCCACCAACAAACGUUUCUAGCUUGACCAAACAGAAAUUGCAUCUGUAUCUAUAUAAUCACCACUUUGCAUUUAUUUCCAUUAUGAAGAGACAAUUCCCUACUAAAUUUCAAAGUGGUUUACUGGCUCAGAGAGGCAGUAAAGCAUCAGCUCACAGAGGGAAGAGCUGUCGUUUGGACAAAACAUUAUUUGUCUACAUAAUGUAACUCAAUAUUUGUGUCUAUAACUGUAUACAGACUGGGAAACCAGACUUUGGGUUUAUAUACAUGACUGAAUCCAUCUUCAAUGCACAUAUAUUUGUCAAAUACUGUUAGGUACUGCACUGCUGUCAACAUUCUGGUUGCCUGUAAAAUUCUAAAUCAAUAUAUAUAUUUCUGAUUUUUAUACAUUAAAUUUUCUCUUUCCUCUACAAGCAAAUCAAAGCGACACUCUUUCUGCACUGAGGAUUCUAACACUAUAUUCUGUGUAUUACACAAAGGAUGCCCAAGCUAUAGCACAUGAAUCAGCUAUGGAUGACUGAUUUAUACCACCAGAAACCAUUCCUGCCAUUUUCUUUCCUGAAGAUCCUCUUGCCUUCUGUACUGGCAUGACUAAAGCACAUCUAUCUUAAGACCAAAAUACAGGAACUCCCAUCCCAUGCCCAGUCAUGCGAUGAUGAUGCAUAUGCCUAUUAGGUUGUGUGAAUGAAAACAUGACUGUGACACAGGGUGUCUGUAAGUAGGGUCACACAACAUGCAUGCAGCUCUGGGUUGCAAUGCACAAUCUUCUGAGCCUACUGCCCAAGCCACUCAUUUAAAGAUGCCUCAUAUUCAUAGCCAAUGAAUAGCUGGGCCCUUGCUUGGCUUCACCUGGUAAUAAAAGUACUCAGGCUUUUGGAACGACAAGACGUGGGGAUGGUGGGGCACAUGAGAAGCCUGCUACCACUUCAAAGCCAAGCACAUGUGCUUGAGGAAGUUCCAGUCUUGCUCCAAAUCUCCACCCUAGAUCCAGAGUGCUGAAGUCCAAUUUGUUUCACUUUGUGCCAUCAGAGUCUUUGCAUCUUGUUGAAGUUCCUGCUGUGUGCUGCAGAAUCAUUCAAGACUUGGCUGCUGCUUUUAUAGAGAAUUACCCUUUUAAGACCUGAAUACAACACAGCACUUCAAGCAAGUGAGUUUUAUUUUGACGAGACUACUCCUAUAUUUAGUGGUAUUCAUGGGCUUGACUUGGCUGCAGCAAGGGAUAGGAUGUCAUGCUGUAGUCUGUAGUGAAUGUAGAUUCUUGCAGAAAGCCCUGGAGCUUUACGCCUGACAGUAUCACCACAGUGUAUAUACAAUGAACCACCCAAAAUAACACUCGCCUCCUUCAAGACAGUGGUGCCCUAAACUACGUAUUAGUGUUUAUGGGUAUUAAAGAUGACCAAGCUACGUGUUUGCCUAAAUGAUAGACACUGAGCUUGACUAUUCUGUGAUUAGUUAACACAUUUUAAAAAGUUGCUUUCCCUACAUAGUGUCCUUAGUUGUCUGAGAUGAACCAUGUUUGGGAGAGAUGCUGAACCAAGCUUUUAUUAGCUUAUAUGCGAAAAAAAGUGGUGAUUAUUACCUGUAUGUAGCUGUUAAUUCAUUGAGAUUGAACCACGACAAAGCCCAUGGAGUCAAAUGCUUCCCAUCUUCUUCUGAGCUGUGAAGCCCUUAUCUUGUUCCACAAUAUUAUUGUGUAGUUCAGUAGAGGUUUCUUUCACUGAUUUAUGUGGCUGUGAUUUAUUCAGCCUGCACCCAUACUCUGCUACUACAGUUGUGCCAGUGUUGCUUACUGUGGACCAGAUGGUGAAUGAGUUUGAGCACCGAUCAAUGUUAAAAGUGACUGUUUUCUUUUUGGCUGAGUUACACUGAGCUUUGAUCACUUCUCUGGGGCAGUUUCCUUCCUGGCCACACAAUUAUACCAGCGUGACUGAGGAAGAGGAGGAAGUGAACAGUGGUAGCAGGACUGGUAUAGGGUAGGAGAGUGAAGGCCACUUAAGCUAGUGCUGCUGCCAGAAGAAAUAUUCAAUGAAUGAAUGCCUAGUGGUAUGUCUGACCAAAGCCUGCGGAAGUCUUCUGCCUCAGGGACAAAAUCUUGCUUUCCGGCCCAGUGUGCUCUGAUCCGAUUUAUUCAUCUCCUGUUCAGAACUUUCUGGCACAGUGGGGUGCAGCAGCCAGGCUGAGGCAGGUGCUGAGGCAGGAAGAAAAGGUGGGGGCAGGAAGGAAAAAGAAGAGCCUGGUGCUGAAUGGUAGACACUCCAAAUUGAGACAAGCAGCAGCAAAAAAGGUGCUACAGAGAAAAUGGUUUCCUGCAUAACAGGUAUGGGAUAAAUCCUUUUCAGCAAGGGAAGGUCUUAAACUGUCACUGCUCUUCAGUGGUCACAGGUCUGGAUCUUACAUAAGGAAAUGGGGUGAACAGCCUCUUCAACGAGAAGAAAGAGCAGGGUAAGGAACUUCACUUUAUAUAUGUCUCCCUCUCCAGUGCACCACAUUUCCAAACACUAAACCAAGACUGAAUUACUGCGCUAUAAAAUGAGUUGAACCCGCCAUGACCUGAAGACUGGUUCAGUUUACAGCCAAGUCCAUAAUCCAAAAAGCAUGAAGGAUCAGCAAAGGGAAGAGAAAUAAAAGUGUUGAGCAGAAAGAGUCAGCAGGUAGUCCUUAACAGUCAGCUAAUCACAGUGAAUAAUGUAUUACAGCAAUGCCACUGAGACUCCGCUAGAUUUUAUAAACCAGUAUUUCCUGGAAAUGUUUUCUGCUCCUCUUGCAUCAUUUGUAAACCUGAAAACUUUUAUCCCUGCCUGCAAUGCAAAGAUGUUUCCAAAGGUCUUAGGAAAUUAUGCCGUUCCAAGAACAGCCCAGUUCUUUCUGACCCCAUCAGACGCUGGAUGCUCUCGAGAAAGGCCAGCUUUGGCUGACUAUAUGCUGUGGCUGAGUGGCAUGGUGCUGAGAGAAGUGUUAUGCAUGCUCCAUAACUCUGACAACUGAAACCAUCUUGCUGCCAAAUCAAACAUCCUUCAUGAACGUGAGAGCUUAUAACACCUCCAGAAAUCCUGUCUGAAUAGAGCUGAUUCUGUGUUGUAACUAUGGAUGUUUCCCAUACAUUCUUUAAGUCUUAUCUUUAACCCUUCUAUGCUCUUGAUCUCUAAUGUAUGUGUGUGAACUGGGCUCCCUUUAAACCAUUUGAAAAUCA